rnacentral:rRNA from 1 species
AGUGAACGCUGGCGGCAGGCCUAAUACAUGCAAGUCGAACGGCAGCACAGCAGAGCUUGCUCUGUGGGUGGCGAGUGGCGGACGGGUGAGGAAUACGAGGGAAUCUGCCCAGUCGUGGGGGAUACCGUAGGGAAACUUACGCUAAUACCGCAUGCGCCCUUUGGGGGAAAGCCGGGGCUCUUCUGACCUGGCGCGAUUGGGCGAGCCCACGUCGGAUUAGCUAGUUGGAGGGGUAAAGGCACACCAAGGCGCAGAUCCGUACGCGGGUCUGAGAGGAUGGACAGCCACACUGGAACUGAGACACGGUCCAGACUCCUACGGGAGGCAGCAGUAGGGAAUAUUGGACAAUGGGCGCAAGCCUGAUCCAGCCAUGCCGCGUGAGUGAAGAAGGCCCUCGGGUUGUAAAGCUCUUUUGUUGGGGAAGAAAAGCCUUGGGUUAAUACCCUGAGGUUCUGACGGUACCCAAAGAAUAAGCACCGGCUAACUUCGUGCCAGCAGCCGCAGUAACAC